rnacentral:lncRNA from 1 species
UGAUCCGGUCUUCAUCUCAGCUGUGAACAGCACCCAGCUUCUUCCAAAUCCCCUGCAUCCCAGAACAGAGUUCAUCUUCUCCGAAAAUCAAGCAUCCCGUGAGCCAUAUUCUCCCAUUCGGAUUAACUCCAUCGACCACGGAUGAAUCCCCUGCAUCCCGGAACCGAGUCUUCUUCAUGUUCCCUCCGUGACCGUAAUCCAACUCGUCCGUAGCAUUCCUCCCAACUGUCUGCCCUUCCUCUCAUUCGUAAGCUCCAAGUCCAGCUGCUCAACCGCAGAUCUAACUCAAAGUUUUCCGGAUUAGCCUUAUCUCCCACGAAUAAGGAUCCCAG